rnacentral:rRNA from 1 species
UCAGACGAUGCGUCAUGCAUAUCAAUAAGCGGAGGAAAAGAAACUAACAAGGAUUCCCUUAGUAACGGCGAGUGAAGCGGGAAGAGCUCAAAUUUGAAAUCUUCAAGGUUUUACCUUGACGAAUUGUAGUUUAAAGAAGUGUUUUCUGCUGAAGUUUUGGUAAAAGUUCUUUGGAAUAGGACAUCAUAGAGGGUGAGAAUCCCGUAUUUGACCAUUAUUUUCAGCUUUGUGAUACACUUUCAAAGAGUCGGAUUGUUUGGGAAUGCAGUCCAAAAUGGGUGGUAAAUUUCAUCUAAAGCUAAAUAUUGGCGAGAGACCGAUAGCGAACAAGUACCGUGAGGGAAAGAUGAAAAGAACUUUGAAAAGAGAGUUAAACAGUACGUGAAAUUGUCAAAAGGGAAGCGUUUGACACCAGUGUUGUUUUCUCGAAAAUCAAUUAAAAAUGGCUCGAUUUUGUAUUGUUGAGACCUUAAAAGCUCACUGUACAUUUUUCGUGUCUUUUUUAAUGCACUUUUCGUUUAACAAGUCAACAUCAGUUUCUUUUGUUGUAAAAGGGUCAUUGGAAGGUGGCUUUCUUUUCGGAGAAAGUGUUUAUAGCCUUUGGCCUCUGCAAUCGGAAGAGACUGAGGUCUGCAGCGUAGACUCUUCGGGGUUAGAUACAUUUGUGCUAAGUUAUAGCUUUUUAUAGACAACUUGUUGACUAUAAUUAGUCUUGUAGCUUACUCGCUUAUGCUAUUUUACCUACGCUUAGGAUGUUGACGAUCAGCUGAGCGCG